GCUUUCUCUCUCCUCUCUGUUCUCUCCUUCAUACUUUUCACAGAGACGGAUGAUUGAGAAAGCGAAGAUGAAUGGUCUCUCUCUCUUUUUUCCUUUAUCCUUCAGAAAAAGAGAGGCUCCGUCAAGCUGGUCGGAUUUGUUACCGGCGCUUGACUCCCGAUGGUCGGGCUAUGACUCUGGCAAGUGGUGGCUCUUAAAGCACUAUCUUGGCCGGCUUCCGUCUCCGGCAAGCGGUGGUUCCCAUUAACACCGUAUUUUCCGGCUUUUAUUUUGAGAUUCAUCUCUCAUCUCCGAUGGAUUUCAAAUCUGUUUUAUACAGUUUUCUUCUUGUGUUUUUUUAAUCUUUCUUUGUUUCUGUUCAUCAUUUCUUAGUUUCCUUCGAUUCGAUUUUGCUAAGGGUGGUUUUUGAUUACUGUGAUCUUUUCCCAUUCAUUUGGGUGGCCCCAUCUUCAAGCUAAACUUUAUCUUUAAAGAUGGUUUUUAAAAAUUGUUAGAUCUUCAGUUUUCUUUGUUCUAAAUGGACCUUAGUUAGAUCGAUUUGAUUUCUUUGAAACGGUGUAGUGGUUUAUGGCUACUGAUUUCGAGCUUCUCAGAUGCUUAGCUGUUCUAUUCCUGAGCUUCCUGUUCCGGUACGUUCCGGUGGAUCUCCGGUUAGAAAUUCCGGCUUCGACUUGAAAAUCGGUGAAGAAAGGGUUGUCUCUGCUCUUCCGCCACGCGUCCAUCUACCGCACGCGUCUGAUGCGUUGGCUGUGAGCUGUCUCGUUGACUGCUGAGCCUCUUUCUUUCUAUGGGCCUUUAUGUUAGUUGGGCUUGCGGUUUGCCCUAGUUGUUAGUUAGUUAGUUUGGCCUUUCUGUUUGGGCCUUUAUCUUUUAUAUUCUUGUACUUUGUUGGCCUUUUGGCUUUUAAUAAAACGAGAUGGCAAAAAAAAAAAAAAAUUCAAUCCCGUGAUAGACUGAUAGUGUAUACUAAUAAUCCAAUCUGGUUCACAUGUUUCUACAUAAAACUUUAGUAAUAUACACAUACAUGCACAUUCACUUUGACACCACAGACGCAUUGAAUUAUAGUAUAUAAAUGUUCUUCUUGCGUGUUGGUAUCACCGCAUAAUUUCUGCCCAAUGGCGUUUAUGGCAAAACCAAUAAUGCGGUCAAGAACAAAAUUGAAAACUUCACAAGGCCCAAAACCCAUACAACAAGAACUGUGUUUUGACAGGACCACAUAAUGGCACUAUCGAAAAUAGAGCCAGUAAGCGAUACUCCCUCCGUUUUUUAUUAUAAGUCGUUUUAGAGAAACUUUUUUGUUCCAAAUUAUAUGUCGUUUUCGGUUUUCUAUGUAAAAUUUAUUAAUAAUUAAUGUUGUAUGACCAAUAGUAAUAUAUCUUCUAUUUUUCUAUUGGUUGAAUUGUGGUUAGGUAAAUAAUUAAUGAUGUUUUUGUUUAGAAAAUAUAAGAAAUUAAUAGUUUUCUUAAUCUACGUGCAUAGCUGUAAAACGACUUAUAUUAAAAAACGGAGGGAGUACCUAAUAAGAGGCACAAUCCCAGAUGCCUAUGUUUUCACUACCCCCGACACAAGUUUUCAGCAUUAAUAUUUUACCAAUCAGAAAAUUCUUCUGUUAUUCUUUAACACCUUAUCUCUAAUCCAACCAUUCAUUCUAAUAUGAAAAGGACGAUUCUAACCCCAAUACGAAAUCAAAUCUAUGGAGAGACGAAGCAUACGAUUACGCAAAAUAGAUAAACAUAAUGAACAAAACAAAAGCAUUAAUUAAUACUAUCCGAGAUGUUUUCCGUUUUAUUUCACCAAGUCUUAUGUCAAAAGGGUGAAAUUAAACUCAACAAAAGUCAUAAGUUAACCGACCCGGUUUACUGAUACCGGAGAUUCCACAAAAGACAAACUACAAAAGCAUAAAAAAAGGAUAAUAGAAGGUUUGUUCAGAAACCGACGAACGAUCAGAUCCGACGACGACGACGACAGUUAGACCACCUCUUUGUUUUCUUCCUUGUCAUCCUUGUCCACCGGAGAAACAAAGAUCCAGGUGAAACCGAACGGGUCAGUCACCUUUCCCUUCACCCAACCCUCAGCUUCCCCCUCCGAGACCUCCUCCACUUUCACAGCUCCGGCGGCUACAGCUUUCGCAACGGCAGCUUCCACGUCAUCAGUUUCGAGGAGUGCAGACACAGUCCCCGUCUUCACACUGUUCAAACGUAACACAAUCCAAGUCAAAUCCACCAGAAAAAAAAACAUAACACUACUAAUACUCAUCCUAUAACAAGUUAAAACUAGAUCUAAAGCGAAAGACAAGACAAAACCCUAAACAAGAAGAUCUACUCAAGGAACAGUAAAAGGAGGAGGAGGAGAAGGAAGAGCUUACUUAGAGCCAGAGUGAACAGAGACGUCGGAGACAACGACGGUAGCACCAGCGAGGUUAAUCUCAGCGGAGACAACGUGAGGGAGCUCUUGGUCAGCCUUACGCUUAGGGUAAAGAGAGUGUCCAGUCUCCGUCGCACCAAACACAUCCUUGUAGAAAGCGACAGCGUCACCGACCUUCUGAGCCUCCACGAUCAGCUGGGGCUUGUAGGCAGUGAAGGUAACAGACUUCUCCACCACUGUAGCACCAUUCGCAGCAGCAGCAACACCUUCCUGAGCCAUCGUUUGUGUUUGAGAGAAAGAUAUGAAGAAAGAUUUGUUCGUUAGAGAAGAAGUGCUGUGAAGGAAGAAUGGAGAGAGGGGGGUAGCUGAUGGUAGAUAUUUAUUGUGGACGAGGAGAAGCGGAAUCGUUUCUUAACCUGACGAGGAUUCUAAAAUGGUUUGUUACAGCUUUCACGUCCGGGGUUAUUUUGUAUUUUACCCUUACUUUUUCCAUUUAUUUACAAGCGUGUACCCCACUUUUCCCUAUCCUACGGCCUAUACGGCUACGUGUCUCCUUCGCGUGUCUUCCCUCGUUUCGAAUUUUUUUUUAAAGUGAAAAUAAUUAAAUAUUCGAAUAUUUUUUAAUAAAGAUAGUUUUUUUUUUGUCGAACAGUAAAGUUAGUUUGUUAUCCACUUUCCCAUGCCCAACUAGCUAAGCUAAUUAUAAAAUUUAAAUUAUCAGUAAUUCUUGGUUCUUAAAAUAACACUAAAGUUUUGAGGUUUAAUGGAUGUGCAUGUUAAUGAAUGUUGGGCCGCAACAUUUGUAAUAUAAACCAACUAAAUUACAGUUAUUAUAUUGUGAAACUACAUCUCUGGACGGAACCUCUACUUGCAAAAUCUUUCUCAUAAUAUAUCAAUACGCGAUUUCUUCAAGAACUUGGAGUGUCUUUUGGUCCUAACCACAUGUCAAAAAUACAAAUAUAGAGGCUCUAAUGAACGCAGAGAAAAUAGACUCUGUAUACAAAUAUAGAGGCUCUAAGACCAUCUCCAAUGGCUUACUCUAUUUUUUACUCUAAAAUAGAGUGACUCUAUAAUAGAGUUUGAUUUUGCUCCAAUGGUACUCUAUUUUAGAGUAGAAAAUAGAGUGAUGAACAAAGAAAAAACAAAUUACUCUAUAUUUGGAGUAAACCAAUGGCUUACUCUAUUAUAGAGUGAUAAAUAGAGUAUCAUUGGAGCAUUUUUUAUUCUAAACUCUAUUUUAGAGUGAAAAAUAGAGUGGGGUUGGAGAUGCUCUAAUGAACGCAGAGAAAAUAGACUCGGUAUGCAAAUAUUUGGUGUUUUUUAAGGAACUCACCCAUUCUAGAUGUUGUGCAUGCAUUACCCGAGUAUAUGCUGCCCAUUACCUAUCGAGGUCGAAAAUGAAAACAUCACACGCUACUAUGUUACUAUCAUCUUUUUGGACGAAGCAAUUUUGAAAUAAACCUUUGUGACAGUCUCUAGAAACAUUCCUGGUCUUACUGGUAACGGCUUUCUUCCUGUAACGCUUCCCUGGAUCGAACCAAGUAGGCCAAGUAAGACAGAAAUAAAGGCUUGUUAUCUUUUCUUCAGUGCCUACUAAAAGAAUCUUUUCGUUAAUAAAAAUGUGUUAGCUGAUCAUACUUACCCUUCCAUUUAAUCCACUUUGUCUUCUUCCUUGGGUUGAAGAAUCUUCUCUAUUGCUAAGAUCAUCUGCACCUUCAUCUUUUCCUUGCAUGACGUUCUGGGUCAUUUGCUGCACACUCUUUCCAGGUUUGAGAGCUACCAAUUUGGUUAGGAAAUUUACCUGUUUUAAUGACAAUGCAGCAAGUUCAUAAACAUGGUGUGAUGGACACAAUAGUAACACCUCUGAUUCAGGCAGAGUGGAGAAACCACGGUCGUUUCUCUCAUCAAGUAUACCUCCUCCCAUCAUGUUCCGUGAAACAAGCCUCGCUAGUAGUAUUCGAUCAGGAACAACUGGCCUUGUUUCCAUAGUCUGCAAAAAUUCCUCAGACUUAUACAUGUGAUCUCGAAACAAACAUAUAUACCAAACUAAACACAAUACUGUACCUCUAACAAAUCACCAGCUUGAUUAGCUAUGUCAUUCAGAUUUCCUCCGGGUAAAUGAAGUUUAUUACCGUCCUUACUUUCAAAAGCCCCACCACCUGCAGCUACUCUACGCAGCAGCUCUUGUCUCCUUUAACAUAACAACAGCAUUUAAAUCCAGUGAACAUAUGUAAGAGACUGCUACAUUACAUAGCAAAGCAAUCCGAGUUACAAAACACAGGUCUCUCACUCCUGGUUUACCUUAUCGUCUUGGUUUUUGUCAGCAAGUUGAAUCAUGUAAUCAAGAGCCAUCAUAAACCCCUGACUCCAUUAGAUCAACCCUUUUCCCUAUAAACUCCUUGUGCAGCCAAUUCCACAGCAACGUUUUCAGAUGCCUCAUUCAUCUUCAUAUCUUGCAACUACACAAAAGGGCACAUUAACAUAGCAAGUAACAAAUCUAUGCAUCAUACACGAUUCUGUGAAGAGUUCCAUAUGCAGAUAAGUUAUUCGACGAAAUGCCAAGCUUAUGAAACAAAAAGCAAAGCUGGUAUGAAAACUACAUCAACGCCGUCUGUGGGGAUCGAACCCACGGCCACGGGAUUAAAAGUCACGCGCUCUACCACUGAGCUAAGACGGCUGACUUGACAUUGAGUGAUUUCAAAUAUUUGAAAAUACGUCAAGAAUAAUAAAUGAUUGGUUAUAAAUACAUGUUUGAUACACAAAAUCAGAUUUCAGUCAUGGAAAUCUUCAGAGCUGAAUAUCAGCAAAAAUAUGGAAGAAGCAUGGAGGGGUCCAAAUGACGUAAUGGUGUUUUUUCUUUUGGUAAAAAAAAAAUGUUUUAUCAUUCUUAUUAUAUAAGUUCAUUGCCUCACUUAUAAAAGCAGAGUGACAUAUUAGUAAUGAAAUAUAAAUGAGAUCUCAAUAUAAAUAUCCUUAAAUAAUUUGUUAAUUUUGAUUAACUCAUAAGAUGGAAACACAUGUGUUAAUGUUGGAUAACUAAAGUAGUUUAGACUUUAGACAGAUGAGGAUUCUGAGCUUUUCAAGCAGGAAGCUGCCACUCUCAUCAUUUUCAGAAGUUGAUAGUUUUGGGAUAGUAGCUGUAGAGGCUUGAAGAUCGCACAUGCUGUUUUGUUAUCUAUGAUGUAGAGAUUAACGAGUCAUCCAUCAAGGCAUCAAUAUACAUAUGUUAUGCUGUAAAAUAUAGCAUUUGUAGUAGAAUAUUAUUCUCAAGUUGUAGCUUGACUAUGGUUGAUGGAAGAACUCGGUGAUAUAUGACAUCAAAUCAUGUUUGUACUAAUAGCUAACAAUAUUAGUGUAGUGAUUCUAGCUGAAAGACAUCUCAAUAGCAGCAGAGACACUAAGUAAGACGGCGUAACCACUCAACUUCAGUCAUGUCAUGAUCCGUUUACAAAAACGCUGUUUCGACGCCGUUUUAGUCUUUUGGAUGUUUAAAUAAAACCAAACGAUACAAGCAAGGCGUUGAUUACAAUUUACAAACAUCCACCAUGGUUUCCAUCUACGUUCAAUCACCAACCUUUCUGAACUCCCCAUUUUCAUCUCCCGCGUCCCGUAGGCUCCCACGUGGAGCUUCUUCUCCUCAGUCGCUUCGCGUCACUGCUUCUCGCAGCUACUCCUUCGAUGUAGUCGUCGUUGGUGGUGGGAUCAUCGGGUUGACCAUUGCCCGUCAGUUCCUUACCGGGUCGGAUCUAUCCGUCGCCGUUGUUGAUAAGGCCGUUCCUUGCUCUGGAGCCACCGGUGCUGGUAAAGUUUGAACCUUUUACUUAUUUUAAGCCAAAAGAGUUGACUUUAAUAUGAAAGUUGUGGUCUUUUUUUUGGGGGUUCAGGACAGGGAUAUAUAUGGAUGACUCACAAGAAGCCAGGUAGUGAUAUAUGGGACUUGGCUAUGAGGAGCCAUCACCUCUGGCACGAGCUUGCAGAUAGCUUAACUGAUCAAGGUCUUGAUCCUCAAGAGAUGCUUGGUUGGAAAAAGACAGGUCUUUUCUCACUCACUCACUCACUCACUCACUCCGGUCUGUUUAGAUUUUGGUUGACUUUUAUAAGGUGGCUUUUAGCUAAAUCAAUGUUCAAUAAAUCAUUAGGUGCUUAAACGUUUUACAGAGGAUUAUUUUUUAGGUGGGUGCCUAGAUUGAUUUUUUGAACACCUAUACAGAAUUUUCGAAAAAUCGGGUUAGAAAAGUUGUUUAAUUUAGAUCCCAUUUACCGCCUAAACACUACCUAGACCUAUUCUUAGAACACUGAGCUAAAUAGUUUCUCGGUUUAGCCAAUUGAGUUAGUUACGCCUUUUUGUUAGGUUCUUGUUGACAAUGAUAUUUUCAUCUUGCUAUCUACAUGGUGUAUGUACCAUUCAGUAUGUUAUUUUUUAUUGCCAUCUGCAGGAAGCUUGCUCGUUGGAAAGACCUCUCAGGAAUGUGUUGCUCUGAAGCAAAAGGUGAAUGAGUUAAGUGAAGGUGGGUUGAGAGCUGAGUAUUUGUCUAGCGCUGAUUUGUUUCUAAAGGAGCCUGCAAUCCUUGUGGAUGAUGAGACUGGUGCUGCGUUUCUUCCUGAUGAUUCGCAGUUGGAUGCUCAUCGUGCGGUUGCUUAUAUCGAGAAGGUUGGUUGGGCUUCAUGAGUAGUUGAAUGUCUCAUCUGACUCUUUUUCUUUGCGGCUUUCUUAGCUUUUAUUUUACUCUUUCAGGGUAACAGAGAGUUUGCAACAGAAGGACGAUAUGCAGAGUUCUAUCAUGAACCAGUUACAGGCUUAAUAAGGUUUGCUAAUCUUUUGUACACGAUUAAACUCAGAAAGAAGUUGUCUCUGUAAAUCUUGAAUGUGCAUUGUUCUUGUGCUGAAGUUUUUAUUAGUAUGUUAAUUGUAUCAUCUACUCAGGUCUGAUGGGAGUAGCAAGGAGGUUACAGGUGUUCAGACUUUGAAACGUAACUUGUAUGGUAAGAAGGCUACUAUAGUAGCUGCUGGUUGCUGGAGUGGAUCUCUGAUGCAUGACUUGCUUAAAAACAGCAACAUCUCGGUGGAUGUUCCUGUGAAGCCAAGAAAGGUUUAACUUUCCUCUCACUGCUAAUUUUUUGCAUUUUUAUUUACAUUUUGAGGAUAGUAUUGUUUUACGAGAAACAAGCAUUAUCUUUAUUUGUAGAGUUAAUCAUCUGCAAGCUUCCAGAAGAUGUUAAGACUCCUGAAAUGGACUGUUUCUGUAUUUUUAAAUUACAAUAUCCAACUUUAUUUUCCUUGCAGGGGCAUCUGCUUGUGGUAGAGAAUUUUGAUUGGUUCCAUUUAAAUCAUGGGAUAAUGGAGGCAGGUUAUGCGGAUCAUCAAAGUGCUUCAGCUCCAGGUGUUGAGGAACGGAUGCUAUCUAUUUCCAUGACAGCCACAAUGGACACAACAGGAAACCUUGUUCUCGGUAACGUUUUCCAUCCACCUCUUAAACUCCUGAACCAGUCAGGCACCAUAUGUAUCUGUCCUCUUCAUUUAGCCAUCUUUAACCUUCAGGGAGCAGCCGUGAGUUCGUCGGGUUCGACACUGAAGCUGAUGAGACUAUCAUCCGGUGCAUAUGGGAGCGUGCAGCAGAGUUCUUCCCCACGUUAAGAGAUAUUUCUCUUGAAGAUUUCAUCCGUAACAGGAAAGUGAGAGUCGGUUUACGCCCAUACAGUAAGAUUCUAAUUGCUCCAUGAAAUGCUUCAAACCCGUCCUUUGGAAUGUAUCAUAGAACCUGAACUUGUUGUUUAACUGAUCAUAGUGCCUGAUGGAAAGCCAAUGAUAGGAUCUGUUCCCGGAUUACAAAAUCUUUACUUGGCAGCUGGACAUGAAGGAGGUGGACUUUCCAUGGUAAGUCAGAACUCAUCCUAAUGUUCUAUCAACAAUUCAAGAACCAGAUGGUGAUUCUUGGUUUCUUGAAAUCUUAUUAGGCUCUAGGAACAGCUGAAAUGGUGUCAGACAUUGUAUUGGGGAAACCAUCGAAGGUAGAUGUUUCAGCGUUUCAGGUUAAAGGACGUUGUUGCUGAGGAACUAGAUGCAGUUCAGUUUUUAGUUACAAAGGGAAUCAAUCAGUCCUGCAUUGUUGUUGAUCUGUUUUGGAUUCCCAAAAGGGAACAAAUCUGAAUGUUUCAAGAAAUAAUAAAAGAUUAACACAAAAUGUUGAAAUCAUUAUUAUGUGGUUAUCUUGGGUUAUUUUUUCUUUUAUUAUUUUGUCAUUGAAGUUAAUUAUUGACCAUGAUUUCUAAAAUCUGAUGUAAUUAAGAAACAUAUUAAAUCUCUUCCAAAGACCAAAUUAAAUUCCCUGAAUACUGCAUAUCCAGUCAAUGGUCUCAUGUUUCUUUGGUAUUUUUAGAUUUUUACUAAAAUUAUCAAAUACAUAACAGAAAAAUCUAACAGUUUUGGUACCUACUUGAGAAAUAUAUAUUUAUAUUCAUUGUGUAUCUGCAUAAGAUAAAUUUGUAGUCAUCAAUGGGUUCAUAUGUCCUUGUAUGGCAUAAAACUAUAAGUUACAUAUGUAUAGAAUGAAGAUGAACAUUACAAAUAUAAUCCGAAAUGUUUAGCAAUACAUAUUUCAAACCUCUUUUGUUUCUUCUUUAUCUGUUUGUUAACCAAACUAAUGGUUUACCUGUGGAAACAAUCUUUAAAUUUCAAGGUCCUUUGCCUCCUAUACUUCCCCAUGAGGUACAUUUCGGCAAAGGGACCAUAGACUUGGGAGGUCUUGAGGUUAAACAAGUCUCCAUCUCCAACACAACAGCAAAGAGAGUAUGGAGAACAUAUGAAGGAGGACGAGACAGCAUGGGAUUCAGCAUCUUUGAACCUAUAAAUCUCCCUGCUAACUUCUUCAAAAUUGGCUUCUACGCACAACCAAACAACCAGAAGCUUUUUGGUUGGAUCCUUGUUGCAAGAGACGUGUCUGGAAGAAGCUUAAGACCACCAGUGGACUACAUUGAAGUCUGGAACACUGCAUCGCUGGAUAUCAAACAAGACGGACAUGCAUAUUUUUGGCAGCCGGUAUGUCUCAAAGGGUAUAAACCGGUUGGUGUGAUUGUCACUACUUCCUCUCAAAAGCCUCCUAUGAAAAAAAAAUCUAUAAGCUGUGUUCGGUCAGAGCUGACAGAACAGAGUGAAGCUGAUACGUUAGUAUGGGGUUUUAAAGGAGUUAGCGUUGUUAAUUUGAGACCGGUCCAAAGAGGAACACAAGCAACAGGUGUGUACACAGGAACAUUCAGUUUUCAACAACUAAACUCAUCUCCUCUUCCUUAUUUAUUCUGUUUGAAGAACACCAAACUCAACAUGUCCUCUAACAUUCCAAGCAAAGCUCAAACCAGAGCUUUGUUCAAAACCUAUUCUCCUUUGAUAUAUUUCCAUCCAAAAGAAAAUUUUCUACCUUCUUCGGUCCAUUGGUUCUUCGCCAACGGUGCCUUGUUAUACAAGAAAGGAAACGAAUCAAACCCUAUACCUAUACAACCAAACGGUACAAAUCUUCCGCAAGGCGGUUCAAACGAUAACUUAUUCUGGUUAGACUUUCCACUCGAUAAGACCGCCAAGGAGAAGGUUCAGAGAGGAGACUUAAGAAACACCAAAGUGUAUCUAAACAUCAAACCAAUGUUCGGAGGGACCUUCACCGACAUCGCCGUAUGGAUAUUCUGUCCUUUCAACGGAAACGCACACCUCAAGUUUCUAUUCAUCAAGAGCCUUUCUUUAGGUCAAAUAGGCGAACAUGUCGGAGACUGGGAGCACGUUACUUUACGCAUCAGUAACUUCAACGGCAAGUUAUGGAGAGUCUACUUCUCUCAGCACAGUGGAGGUACGUUGGUGGACGCAUGCGAUCUAGAGUACGUUGAAGGUGCGAACAAACCGGUUAUAUACUCGUCGCUUCACGGUCACGCAAUGUUUUCGAAACCUGGACUUGUGUUGCAAGGCAAAAGAAAGUAUGGUAUAAGAAACGAUAUGGCGAGGAGUGACAAGUGGUUAGACUGUGGUAAGGGAUAUGAGGUGAUUGGAGGGCCUUGGGGCGUGGUUGAGCCGGCUUGGACGAGCUAUUUUAGGAAAUGGGGACCAAGGGUUGGUUACAAGAUUGAUAAGUCAAUUAAAUCAUUUGCUAAGAAGAUUUUACCCAUGUUUGUUAGGAAACGGUUACGAAAUAUUAUUCGGAAGAUACCUUAUGAAAUAAUUGGUGAAGAUGGUCCUACGGGUCCUAAAGCCAAGUUGACUUGGACUGGUGAUGAUAAGUAUUCUUAAAUUGUUUUAUGGUAGGUUCUUGCACUAUUCACUAAAAUAUUUACUGUAUGGUUCUCAACGAAUAUUGUAUUCUGCUGGUUCAAUACCCAAAUUAAGUAAGGCCAAGCCAGUCCAAACCGAUCGUGUUCAUCUAGAAAUUGUAUGUGUUGUUCAUAUACGUCAUCAAGUGACAAUGGAAAAUAAGAUAAGGCUAACCAAAGCCCAGGCCCAUAAAUAACACCCAGGUGAUCUGGAGUUUAACAUAUUAUGCAAGUACCAAGGGGAAGUCUAUAGGCGUUAGUUCUCUCGUUACUCGGUCUGUAAAGUAGCUUCAUUGUCCAUGAUUAGAUCUUGAAUCAAUUUUAUUAACAUGUGUGCAUAUAUCACUUAAAUUUAGUGAUUAACCUUUCCUUUCUUCUGCUGUGCCACCUUAUACGUACACAAAUAGCUGACAUGUUUUUUAGAAGUCAAUACGUGUAAUAAUUGUGUAAUUGUAAACCAACCAUGUGCCCAUAUAGAGAUCACUGAAAAGAUCUCGAAGACGAGUUGAAUUGGUUAAUAUUCAAUUUAGCAAACGAAGAAAUUGCACCAAAACAUUAAUGGUCUUGGGACAGAGUGCGUUUGCAUAACGUCAAUAGAAAAAAGAGAUUUGGCAGUAUAUAAGGGCCUGGAUCAUCAUGAAGUUUAUCAGAUCCAGGCGAGUGAUACUGCCGAUUUAUAUUUCGCAAGGUUUAUUAUUAAUAAAUUGACUGGAUCAUGAUAGUAUUCAAUCCAACCAAAGAAGCUGAACUUGCUUUUCUUUCCGACAAAAAAAACAAUUCUCAACCAAAAAGGUAAAAACCCAAUGAAGAUAGGAGCAAUUGAAUAGCAUAACAUAGAAGAAACGAAAUCGAAAGCUUCACAAGUUUGGAGUAGCUAAAGGAGAGAGAUGUGUGGCCGUUGUUGGAGAUGAGAAAGAGGAGAGAGUAUAUAUUGGGAAUUAGAAGGGUAUAGAUUAGGGUUUUUUUUUUCUUUCUCCAGAAAGGCCUGCUAAUUUUGUCAGCUCAGCCCAAAAGAAAGCCCAAUUUUAAUGCACACUGGGAACCAAAACCAGUUCGAAGACACUGCCGACCAGUCUUUUGAAACUCGAUAUUGACCCGCAGUUAGAACCGGUAAACUCGGAGACCUAGAAUAUAAUCCGGUUUGAAUUUUAAGAAAAAUACAUUAUUUAAAAAUUUGGUAAAACCUACAAAAAACCAUUAAAACCCAU
rnacentral:lncRNA from 1 species